rnacentral:ncRNA from 1 species
GCGCCGUGACUGCGUCGAAAUGCAGGGUUGGGAGUAAUCCUGACACGGCGU